AGAACGAACGCUGGCGGCAUGCCUAAUACAUGCAAGUCGAACGAACUCUUCGGAGUUAGUGGCGCACGGGUGCGUAACGCGUGGGAAUCUGCCCCUUGGUUCGGAAUAACAGUUGGAAACGACUGCUAAUACCGGAUGAUGACGAAAGUCCAAAGAUUUAUCGCCAAGGGAUGAGCCCGCGUAGGAUUAGCUAGUUGGUGAGGUAAAGGCUCACCAAGGCAACGAUCCUUAAGCUGGUCUGAGAGGAUGAUCAGCCACACCGGGACUGAGACACGGCCCAGACUCCGUACGGGAGGCAGCGAGUAGGGAAUAUUGGGACAAAGUGGGCGAAAAGCCGUAGAUCCAAGCGAAAUGACCGCGUGAGUGAUGAAGGCCGUUACGGUUGUAAAGCUUCGUUUAACCGAGA
rnacentral:rRNA from 1 species